rnacentral:tRNA from 1 species
UUUUAUAUAGUAUAUGUAGUACAGUUACCUUCCAAGUAAAUAGGCUCCUAAGUCGUGUAUGGU